UUGUCCAGGCAAAUCCGGAUAAUCAAGGCUGAGGUGUGAUGACGAGGCACUACGGUGCUGAAGUAACAAAUGCCCUGCUUCCAGGAAAAAGCCUCUAAGCAUCAGGUAACAUCAAAUCGUACCCCAAACCGACACAGGUGGUCAGGUAGAGAAUACCAAGGCGCUUGAGAGAACUCGGGUGAAGGAACUAGGCAAAAUGGUGCCGUAACUUCGGGAGAAGGCACGCUGGUGUGUAGGUGAAGUCCCUGCGGAUGGAGCUGAGACCAGUCGAAGAUACCAGCUGGCUGCAACUGUUUAUUAAAAACACAGCACUGUGCAAACACGAAAGUGGACGUAUACGGUGUGACGCCUGCCCG
rnacentral:rRNA from 1 species